CACAACCUUGGGCAAGUCACUUGACUUUCCUGGGCUCCAUUUCCUUAUCUAGCAAAAUGAGUGGACUGGAUUAGACAACCUCCAAAGGUCCUUCUCAGCCCGAGUGGCCAUGCUCCCAGGCUGUCCUUCCACAGCCACACAGCCCAUCAAGGCAUUCUGCUCAACGAAGACUUUUCCUUCCUCUGAAAGAGACUUUCCUGCUAAACAACUUUUUUCCUUACUACAAUCUGAUUGCAGUAAGCAAGGAUGGCAUAACAUAACCAUCCAAAUAAGUUGAAAACUUUUGCCCACACAAAAACCUGCACACUGAUUCAUAUUUGCCAACACUUGGAAGCAACCAAGAUGUCCUUCAACAGAUGAAUAGAUAAACAAAACGUGGCACAUCCAGACAAUGGAAUAUGAUACAGCAGGAAAAAGAAAUGAGCUCCGGACAUUCUGGAAAGCAUGGCAACUUUUUACCAGGAAACAAGAUUUAAUCCGUAACUGCAGAAUUUCAG
rnacentral:lncRNA from 1 species